ACGCUCGACACCUACGGAGGCAGCAGUGGGGAAUAUUGCACAAUGGGGGAAACCCUGAUGCAGCGACGCCGCGUGAGUGAAGAAGUAUUUCGGUAUGUAAAGCUCUAUCAGCAGGGAAGAAAAUGACGGUACCUGAGUAAGAAGCCCCGGCUAACUACGUGCCAGCAGUCGGCGGUAAUCUGAGGCGGGCUGGACAAGGC
rnacentral:rRNA from 1 species